UUUAGGAGAAAAAUACAAGCUAGAUUAGUAUUAGUUAUGUACUUUAAAAUUAAAAAAUUUGGCGGUGAUUUAAUCUUUUCAGAGGAAUUUGUUUUUUAAUCGAUAAUCCACGAAAAAUCUUACUUACUUUUGUUUAUAUAGUUAAUCAGUUUGUAUACCAUCAUUAUCAGAUAAUUCUUAAAAGAAAAAUUAUUAAAUAUAAAUAAUUAUUAAAAUUAGAUCAUGGUGCAGCUUAUAAGUAAGUUAAAAUGAAUUACAAUAAAUUAUUUUAUAAUGGAUUAAUAAGAUAAAUAUUAUUAUGAAGGAGGAUUUGAUAGUAUUAUAAUUUUAAUAAGAUUAUAAGACAGCAGCUCUAAAUCAUGUACAUAUCGCCCGUCGCUUUCAUUUAUAAUGAAGUAAGUCGUAACAUA
rnacentral:rRNA from 1 species